CCUACGGGGUGCAGCAGUGAGGAAUAUUGGUCAAUGGACGAGAGUCUGAACCAGCCAAGUAGCGUGAAGGAUGACUGCCCUAUGGGUUGUAAACUUCUUUUAUAUGGGAAUAAAAUGUUCCACGUGUGGGAUUUUGUAUGUACCAUAUGAAUAAUGAUCGGCUAACUCCGUGCCAGCAGCCGCGGUAAUACGGAGGAUCCGAGCGUUAUCCGGAUUUAUUGGGUUUAAAGGGAGCGUAGGUGGAUUGUUAAGUCAGUUGUGAAAGUUUGCGGCUCAACCGUAAAAUUGCAGUUGAAACUGGCAGUCUUGAGUACAGUAGAGGUGGGCGGAAUUCGUGGUGUAGCGGUGAAAUGCUUAGAUAUCACGAAGAACUCCGAUUGCGAAGGCAGUUCACUGGACUGCAACUGACACUGAGGCUCGAAAGUGUGGGUAUCAAACAGGAUUAGAUACCCGGGUAGUC
rnacentral:rRNA from 1 species